rnacentral:rRNA from 1 species
ACGAACGCUGGCGGCGUGCCUAACACAUGCAAGUCGAGCGAUGAAAUUAGAAACGGAGUCUUCGGACGAAGAGGAAAAUGGAUUAGCGGCGGACGGGUGAGUAACACGUGAGCAACCUGCCUAUCACAUCGGGAUAGCCUCGGGAAACUGGGAUUAAUACCGAAUGAAACAUAAUCACUGCCUAGUGGAAAUGUCAAAGAUUUAUCGGUGAUAGAUGGGCUCGCGUCUGAUUAGCUAGUUGGUGAGGUAAUGGCUCACCAAGGCGACGAUCAGUAGCCGGCCUGAGAGGGUGAACGGCCACAUUGGGACUGAGACACGGCCCAAACUCCUACGGGAGGCAGCAGUGGGGAAUAUUGCACAAUGGAGGGAACUCUGAUGCAGCGACGCCGCGUGAGCGAUGAAGGCUUUCGAGUCGUAAAGCUCUGUCGAAUGGGAAGAUAAUGACGGUACCAUUUGAGAAAGCCCCGGCUAACUACGUG